AUGGGGCUGCGAUGCAGACAAUGCCGGGCGCGACGACGACAAUCUCCGGCCAGAUCCGGUCUAGGAGGCGAGGCAGGGGCCGGAUCCUGCUCGGGGGAUGGCGUGGAGGCGAUCUACGAGGUGCGGGAGGAGGUCCAGCGGCGGGGCUUGAACUCCAGCGGCCCCCCUUUCGAUGGACGGGGUUGCCCACGUCGCCGGCGACUCCCCGGAGGCCGACAGGGCCUCCUCCUCCGCGUCCUCGACCGGAUCGGCCUCUCGGCGCUCCCGGCCGCACAAGGGGAUUCACCUGCGGCGGCGCCCGCGACCAUUGUCCGCUCGGAGAGGAGACGGCGGCGAAGGCGACGGCAAGGGCGCCGGUGA
rnacentral:rRNA from 1 species